rnacentral:lncRNA from 1 species
CGCCAGCUCAUCCACCGUCUUGGCGACCUUCUCCAUCGCCGCGCCCGAAUCGAGCUCCGCUCCGCCGGACAGUGACGCCCGCCGGCUCCGCCCGCCCUCCGACGCCGCCGCCUGCCGCUCCACAAACGCGGCGAUGACGCGACGCACGGUGUCGGUGUUCCGGACGUGCUCCCCGGCGCCAUCGAGCGCGACGCCGAGCAGGUCCCCCACGGUGGCCUGGUCCAGCACCGCCGCGACGCGGAGCUCCAGGUCGCGGCACGUCUUGGCGGAGGCCUCGGUGGUGACCGCGGCGUGGAGGAGGCGGCAGAGGAACGCGGCCGGGAUGGGCGCGUCGGCGGCGGAAGGGAGCACGUCCACGA